rnacentral:rRNA from 1 species
AACGAACGCUGGCGGCAGGCUUAACACAUGCAAGUCGAGCGCCCCGCCAGGGGAGCGGCAGACGGGUGAGUAGCGCGUGGGAACGUACCCUUAUCUUCGGGAUAGCUCCGGGAAGCUGGAAUUAAUACCGAAUGUGCCCUUUGGGGGAAAGAUUUAUCGGAUAAGGAUCGGCCCGCGUUGGAUUAGCUAGUUGGGGGGGUAAAGGCCUACCAAGGCGACGAUCCAUAGCUGGUCUGAGAGGAUGAUCAGCCACAUUGGGACUGGGACGCAGCCCAGAAUCCUACGGGAGGCAGCAGUGGGGAAUAUUGGACUACGGGCGCAAGCCUGAUCCAGCCAGGCCGGGUGAGUGAUGAAGUCCUUAGGGAAGUAAAGCUCUUUCACCGGAGAAGAUAAUGACGGUACCCGGAGAAGAAGCCCCGGCUAACUUCGUG